rnacentral:rRNA from 2 species
CCUGGCGGCACUAGCGCGGUGGUCCCACCUGACCCCAUGCCGAACUCAGAAGUGAAACGCCGCAGCGCCGAUGGUAGUGUGGGGUCUCCCCAUGUGAGAGUAGGGAACUGCCAGGC